rnacentral:rRNA from 1 species
GAUCCUGGCUCAGAUUGAACGCUGGCGGCAUGCCUUACACAUGCAAGUCGAACGGCAGCACGGGAGCAAUCCUGGUGGCGAGUGGCGAACGGGUGAGUAAUAUAUCGGAACGUGCCCAGUAGUGGGGGAUAACUGCUCGAAAGAGCAGCUAAUACCGCAUACGACCUGAGGGUGAAAGGGGGGGAUCGCAAGACCUCUCGCUAUUGGAGCGGCCGAUAUCAGAUUAGCUAGUUGGUGGGGUAAAGGCCUACCAAGGCAACGAUCUGUAGUUGGUCUGAGAGGACGACCAGCCACACUGGGACUGAGACACGGCCCAGACUCCUACGGGAGGCAGCAGUGGGGAAUUUUGGACAAUGGGCGCAAGCCUGAUCCAGCAAUGCCGCGUGCAGGAAGAAGGCCUUCGGGUUGUAAACUGCUUUUGUCAGGGAAGAAAUCCUCUAGGUUAAUACCCUUGGGGGGAUGACGGUACCUGAAGAAUA